GGCCACAGCAGUGAGAGGCCCGCGUACUGCAAAACAAAAUAAAAUAAAAAAGAAACCAGAAUUGCUCAUAGCAGUCUACGGUUGAAUAGAAGUAGCAUAAAUAAUUUCUUAGAUCCUCCCACUGAAACACUGGAACCCAAAGCCACGUGCACUAGGAUUUCCCGCUGUGCACUCAGACAAGCUCUGAAGGAUGGGACAGCACCCAGGAGGGAGGCACCUGUCCUCUGAAGAGACGGGCUCCUGGCAUCACCGCCGCUUUGGUCUCCCAUGGCCAUGUGUACGGUCAAGAGGGAGCGGCCCUGCGUGCAAAGUGCUGGGGCUGCCUGGCACGGCAGGCCCUAGAGCCAGGAGGCCACAGGAGAGAAGAGACCCUGAGCAGGUGCUCGGUCAGCGGAAGUGGAAUGAAUGGGCUGCUUCUCGCGAAGGCUGGUAAGAGCCUCCCCACCUGACAACUUGCCGAGGCCCCCUGUCCACUCCCAACCCCCAGCCUUUCCCAGGGGAAGCGCUUCCAGCUGGAGCACCCAGGAGCCGCAGGAGACCAGCAAAACACAGAUGCGCUGGCAGCAGUGUCCUCGCGAGCACGGAGCUUCCCGCCUCACAGGGACGGCUGCUACACGAAGAAGGGGCUCGAGGGCACCGAGUCAGCCCCGGAAGCACUUAUGGAGGAUGUGCCAGUCAGAGCUGGGGUUAGGGUCAGGCAGCACUCGGGUUCCGCCCUGCCUUUGGCCACCAGCCUCCACGACGGAGGUCCAGCCCCACUGUGCCCGCUUCCUGGUGUCCGUGCCCACGUACAGUCCCAUCCCAGCUGAAGAGGGCUGACCUGGGCAGGAAUGUGAGUGACUCUGGGCAAGGUCGUGACCAGCACCGAGCUUCCUCCUGCCUCUCGGAUAGCUCACCCCGGGGGUAGCCACGUUGUGAGGGCACUCAGGCAGCCCCGGGGAGAGGCCACAUGGGAGGAGCUGAGGCCUCCUGCCCACAGCCAGGGGAGGAGCCUCCUUGGAGGCGGGUGGAGCCUUCAGGUGAGACGGGAGCCCUGCCGACACUCCAGCUGCAGCCUCACUUGAGUCCGAGCCAGGGCCGCCAGGCCGAGCCACGUCUGGGUUCGGGACCCACAGAAACUGACAUCGUAAGUGUGUUGUUGUAGCUGCUAAGUUUGGAGUGAUUUGAACAUAGAAACAGAGAGCCAAUACCCUGCUUCUGCUAGCUAUAGUUGUGUGAUAGGCAAAUUAAUCUCUCUGAGUGUCAGCUUCUCACCCGAGAAUAAGAAUGCCUACCUCCAAUGGAUGUUAUAAAAAUUAAAUAAGCUCUUGGCAUUGGGCCUGGGAUACAGCAAAUGCUGAAAAACUAGCUGUCAUCAUUAUUAUGAAAUAUUUACAUAAAUAUAUCACAAGAUGCGAAGGGCUCAGGAAGACCUCACUUCAAACAGGUGGGUUCAAGGAAGGCUUUGUGGAAAAGUAAUGUUUGGCUUGGUCCUUGAAGGAGAAGCAGGAUCUGGACCCGAGGAGAUGGCGGGAAGGGCAGGAGGGUCCCUGUGGGCAGUUCACGCUCAGCGUAAACUCGGGCAACAGGAGGUGAGACUGUGAAGGCUGGCUGGGGUCAGAUUGGGCUGCUGGCAUUAAGGGGUCUGGAAUUUACAUGCUGGGAAGUGAAGCCACCGGUUCUGAGUCAGUGGAAGUGGAAUGAAUGGGACGGCUUCUCCCGAAGGCAGAUAAGAGCACGGUGGCCUCCCCACCUGACAACUUGCCCUGAGGCCCCCUGUCCACAGGAGCGAGAACCCCAGGCACGGCUCCCCAGCACACAAUAGCCCUUCGGAAGAGGUGUUGAAUGAAUUAAAUUCUUCCCGACCCCCAAAGCAUCCCCUCUUGGAUUCUGGCAGGAGCAAAUAUUAAAGAGGGUGCCUGGGGCUGGAAGGAACGGUUGUCAGGCUGCUGCUGCAACUGAUCCUUUUUCUCCCAAACCCAGGAUCCAGCUCUGUCUCUGCUGUUUGACAAACGUUUCCACUCGACCUCCCUUCUUCCCUCUGAACCCUGAGUUUGUUCAUGUUCCCAAUUUCCCCGCGAGCCAUGUGGGGAAGAGAGGUGGGUCCCAGACCUCCAGCCCCAGAGGGCAGAUCACGAUUGGCCUAAACCAGCCACAGGGGUCUCAUCCCCUUGCCAGAGAUUCUGGCCCAAGGACGUGAGGGCAAGUCUGGGCAGGUUCUCCUCGCGAAGGAAACAAGAUGCGUUGGAAGCAGCAGCCCCUCUUUUUUCAUGGUGGACGCUGUGUGUGUGUGUGAUGUCUGGAAUUGCCACGGCCAUCUUGUACCAUGAGGAGUGCCGUCCUGAGAGUGAGCCAGUGGGAUGCCAGGCAGACAGAGCCUGAGUCCAGGGUGAUAUCCAGAGCCACUGCGCUUACAUGUG